rnacentral:misc_RNA from 1 species
CGCCUUUGGGUGWGCUGCUGCGGCCAUAUGGCGCUUGCGGCGUUGCCUCUUGGUGCUGGCAUGUUUCGUGCCUGGUGCUAUCAAGGCAUCCUCGCUCCCGCUGUUGGUUUCGGAUGUUGCUCAUGAUAAAGGCUCGUGGCCCUUUUGGUUGCCUCGACCUGACCCUAAUAAUGCUCUCCGAAUUUGAGAACAACCGGAACAUGUGUUGCCUCUACCUCUCCACAGUUAGUGGUAGGAUUACGCAACAUACUGUGCCGAUCCUCAUACUAGUAGGACGAGCUAGGCCCGCUCAAUUGCGACAACUGGCCCGGCUGUUGCCUYUGCCCUGCCACGCAAGUGGACGGGUGGACGACUACCGACGCUGGAUGUCAAAGAGGACGUGCUACCUGGUUGAUCCUGCCAGUAGUC